ACAUGUUUUGUAGGUUUUGGAUAAAUCACUCAAACCAGUGUUGUUAAUUUUCAGUUUUGGAGUCGCAGCACAGCUGUGGAAAUUGUCAACAGCAGCAAAGUUCUCCAGGCAGAGACAACCAUGCUUCUGGAUGGAAAACAUCUGUCCGAGUUCCCUGAGGAAGAGGGGCUCCACUUAACCCUGAACAGCCUGAGUGCUGAGCUCCACAAGCUGGAUGACAUCCACUGGAUCUGUCCACUAAUGCACUGUGCUGAGGAGGGGUUGGUGCGUCCCAGUAGUAAAAGCAGCAUAAAGCUUAAGAUCAUGCCAAGGUGAAGAGGGAGAAGGAAAAGCUCCACAAGCAGAAGUCAAACAACUCGCUCUCAGGUUGGAACAGCCGAUAAAACACACCCAAAGUCAGCCGGAGCCUAUCCCAGCUGACUUUGGGUGAAAGGCAGACUACACCCUGAACUGGUCGCCAGUCAGUUGCAGGGCACAUAUAGACAGGGACAAACAUUCACACCGUCACUGAGUGGGAACUGAACCCACGCUGCCUGCACCAAAGUCAGGCAAGUGUACCACUACACCAUCAGUGACUUACCCAAAUCUGUUCAAUUUCAUAUUUUUUCACCAA